GUGCUUGCUUCAGUAGUACACAUACUAAAAUUGGGACGAUACAGAGAAGAUCAGCAUGGCCCCUGCACAAGGAUGACAUGCAAAUUCAUAAAGCGUUCCAUAUUUUU